rnacentral:rRNA from 1 species
AGAGUUUGAUCCUGGCUCAGGAUGAACGCUGGCGGCGUGCCUAACACAUGCAAGUCGAGCGAGGGUUUGCUCAGUAUUGAGUAUUCUAAGACUAGAAUGUUCAAUUCUGAGCAAAACCAAGCGGCGGACGGGUGAGUAACGCGUGGGUAACCUGCCCUAUACACAUGGAUAACAUACUGAAAAGUUUACUAAUACAUGAUAAUAUAUAUUUGCGGCAUCGCAGAUAUAUCAAAGUGUUAGCGGUAUAGGAUGGACCCGCGUCUGAUUAGCUAGUUGGUGAGAUAACUGCCCACCAAGGCGACGAUCAGUAGCCGACCUGAGAGGGUGAUCGGCCACAUUGGAACUGAGACACGGUCCAAACUCCUACGGGAGGCAGCAGUGGGGAAUAUUGCACAAUGGGCGAAAGCCUGAUGCAGCAACGCCGCGUGAACGAUGAAGGUCUUCGGAUCGUAAAGUUCUGUUGCAGGGGAAGAUAAUGACGGUACCCUGUGAGGAAGCCCCGGCUAACUACGUGCCAGCAGCCGCGGUAAUACGUAGGGGGCUAGCGUUAUCCGGAUUUACUGGGCGUAAAGGGUGCGUAGGUGGUCCUUCAAGUCGGUGGUUAAAGGCUACGGCUCAACCGUAGUAAGCCGCCGAAACUGGAGGACUUGAGUGCAGGAGAGGAAAGUGGAAUUCCCAGUGUAGCGGUGAAAUGCGUAGAUAUUGGGAGGAACACCAGUAGCGAAGGCGGCUUUCUGGACUGCAACUGACACUGAGGCACGAAAGCGUGGGUAGCAAACAGGAUUAGAUACCCUGGUAGUCCACGCUGUAAACGAUGAGUACUAGGUGUCGGGGGUUACCCCCCUCGGUGCCGCAGCUAACGCAUUAAGUACUCCGCCUGGGGAGUACGCACGCAAGUGUGAAACUCAAAGGAAUUGACGGGGAC